rnacentral:rRNA from 1 species
CGCUGGCGGCAUGCCUUACACAUGCAAGUCGAACGGCAGCGCGGGGCAACCUGGCGGCGAGUGGCGAACGGGUGAGUAAUAUAUCGGAACGUGCCCUGGAGUGGGGGAUAACGUAGCGAAAGUUACGCUAAUACCGCAUACGAUCUAAGGAUGAAAGUGGGGGAUCGCAAGACCUCAUGCUCGUGGAGCGGCCGAUAUCUGAUUAGCUAGUUGGUGGGGUAAAGGCCUACCAAGGCGACGAUCAGUAGCUGGUCUGAGAGGACGACCAGCCACACUGGGACUGAGACACGGCCCAGACUCCUACGGGAGGCAGCAGUGGGGAAUUUUGGACAAUGGGCGCAAGCCUGAUCCAGCAAUGCCGCGUGAGUGAAGAAGGCCUUCGGGUUGUAAAGCUCUUUUGUCAGGGAAGAAACGGUCGUUUCUAAUACAGGUGACUAAUGACGGUACCUGAAGAAUAAGCACCGGCU